UUGGUUUGAAUCCUGCACUUAGCAUGAUAGCUGCAGUGUUUCCCUGUUCAGCACAUGAUGCUGUAAGAACUUCAAAUGCGACAUCGGUGUCAUCAAGGAUGCGGUUCAGUUUACAGAGCAUAGUUUCCUGCAUAUCCCAGAAUAUUUCGUCUGGAACACCAAGCACAGACAGUAGGGUAAUUAUCUGCCGGUUUAAGAACCCAGGUUGAAACCUGGUCCAUGAACAGAUCUCCAAGAUUGUAUGCUUAGAGUGGAACUUAUCCAUACUGUGUCGAAGGGCUAACCGGAUCCCAUCAUCUUUUGAUGGCCAACGAGCAACAACUCCUUUGAAACCGGCGUAACGUAUCUGGUAAGCACAAGGGCUGCAGUGCGAAUCCAACUUAAGUUUCUCCAUUAUUUCUAAAGCGAGGUCAGGUGUGAUUGUACCAAUUCCAUCAGAGAAAGUAUACCCAUUUCUCUCUAUUUCUGGAAGCUCGGUGUCAACCUCGUGAGGCAUGACAUCUACAGUGGCGUAUGUGGAGGAGAAGCACAGGCCCAUCCUAGCAGCGCAUUUUGCCACAUUCUUGUCUUUGAACUUCCCCAUCCAUGUCUUUAUAUCCGACACUCUUGUUUUCCCGUCUUCAGCGAAAAACCAUGCAGAGCGAUUCUUCAGCUGCAGUAUAUUGCAUGGCGGGAAAGCUUGUUCUGCUGGGAGGGAUGAGUCUCUGAUCCCAAGCCACAAAGUACAGGUCGCCAUCAAGGUCACUGCCAGAAGCUUCGUUUGUAUGUGGCCUCUCGCCUUUCUGAGGAAAAAGUAGGCAGUCAUACAUGUGAUGCAGCUCGGGUACAUCAACAGCUUCUAGAAUCCUUACAUCCCCUGGGUGAAGACAAGGAUUCUUAGCAAUGGCUACAUAACCUUUCACUACUUGCAGAUCUGUCUUCGUCUCCUUAAAACGAGACCCAUGUUUGGAGAAACAAUUUUCUAUAGACGGUUUCGAGACUUGGAUAAAGCAUUGGCCCUGUUCAAGUACCCCUGCUUCGUCUAAGCAACCCAUUAGCCACCUUCCUGACGUAACAAAAAUACGAGAUUUUUCUCUGAGACCCCAGAGUUGUGCAAUCCUGACUGAAGACAGCAUUCCUCGUAGAUGUGGCUCAGUCUUUGGUUUGAAUCCUGCACUUAGCAUGAUAGCUGCAGUGUUUCCCUGUUCAGCACAUGAUGCUGUAAGAACUUCAAAUGCGACAUCGGUGUCAUCAAGGAUGCGGUUCAGUUUACAGAGCAUAGUUUCCUGCAUAUCCCAGAAUAUUUCGUCUGGAACACCAAGCACAGAUAAGAGGGUAAUUAUCUGCCGGUUUAAGAACCCAGGUUGAAACCUGGUCCAUGAACAGAUCUCCAAGAUUGUAUGCUUAGAGUGGAACUUAUCCAUACUGUGUCGAAGGGCUAACCGGAUCCCAUCAUCUUUUGAUGGCCAACGAGCAACAACUCCUUUGAAACCGGCGUAACGUAUCUGGUAAGCACAAGGGCUGCAGUGCGAAUCCAACUUAAGUUUCUCCAUUAUUUCUAAAGCGAGGUCAGGUGUGAUUGUACCAAUUCCAUCAGAGAAAGUAUACCCAUUUCUCUCUAUUUCUGGAAGCUCGGUGUCAACCUCGUGAGGCAUGACAUCUACAGUGGCGUAUGUGGAGGAGAAGCACAGGCCCA
rnacentral:lncRNA from 1 species